UCAAUCAGCCAUGACGCCACAGCAUAACGUUUUGCGUGUCCUCUGUAUCUGUCUAUUAGCCUGUACCAGCGGGGUUGGGGGAUUCGCACCGAGUAUAGACAUCCCCGCCACCACCACGGAGCCGCCCCCCACCACGCCAGACCCCGCCACGCUCCCCUACUUCCUCCACCACAUCAACGCCACCAAUGUCACGGUCAGCAAGGGCAAGACGGCCAUCCUGGACUGUCAGGUGUUCCGGCUACGGGACAGAACGGUGUCUUGGGUGCGGCGGCAAGGUGACUCAAUACAGCUGCUCACCUUUGGCUCCAGCACUUACCAGACCAAUGGCAGGUACCAGCUGGAGAUUGAGGACUCGAACAACUGGCGGCUGGUGGUGACGGCCGCUGAGGAGGCUGACAGAGGCCACUAUGAGUGCCAAGUGUCCUCACACCCGCCGAAGAUCAAGCAAGUGAACCUCUUUGUGUACGUGCCUCGCCUCGAGAUCUAUGACGCGCGCGGUGAGGCUAUUCAGCAGAAGUUUUACGAAGUGAGCUCAAGCAUCGACCUUCGCUGCGACGCCUUCUACGUGCCUCAAGACGCCGUGGUAUGGGCCCGCGGCGGCGCUGCCAUCUACCACUCGCCGGAGACUGGCGUAAGCGUGGAGACCAUCUCGGGGCCGCAGGGACCCGUCUCGUGGCUCAGGAUCAAGGCGGCCUCUACCUCAGAUUCCGGCAACUACAGCUGCAGCGCCGCCGAGGCUGAGCCCACCACCGUCCGCAUCCAGGUGCUCGAAGGAGACACCUCAGCGGCAAUUCAACACUCCACCAACACCUCCUCCUCCUCCCACCGGGCUGUCCACGCCUCCGUCACCACCAUCAUCCACCUGCUGAGUCUGUCCUUAGUGCUCAGAGCCCGUGGUCACCUUGACGGCAGGUAAGCGGGAAGGUGAAGCCGUGGCCGUCCCCCAGGGCAGCUCCGUCGUCCUCACCUGUCACCUGAAGGCCAACCCACCUGCUACAACGUCACCUGCUUUCAUAACAUGUGUAAUGGUGUGGCGCCCCGCCCCAACACAGAUCUACACCUGCGGCAGAUGACACGACGGCGGAACCAGCCACACACGCCCCUCCACCAGUCCUGUCCUCGCCCUUAGCCCCAUAUCUGGGGCCCGUGUGAGGUCGCCUACGCUGGGUCCUCAAUAA